rnacentral:rRNA from 1 species
AUUGAACGCUGGCGGCAGGCUUAACACAUGCAAGUCGAGCGGAGAUGAGGUGCUUGCACCUUAUCUUAGCGGCGGACGGGUGAGUAAUGCUUAGGAAUCUGCCUAUUAGUGGGGGACAACAUUCCGAAAGGAAUGCUAAUACCGCAUACGCCCUACGGGGGAAAGCCGGGGAUCUUCGGACCUUGCGCUAAUAGAUGAGCCUAAGUCGGAUUAGCUAGUUGGUGGGGUAAAGGCCUACCAAGGCGACGAUCUGUAGCGGGUCUGAGAGGAUGAUCCGCCACACUGGGACUGAGACACGGCCCAGACUCCUACGGGAGGCAGCAGUGGGGAAUAUUGGACAAUGGGCGGAAGCCUGAUCCAGCCAUGCCGCGUGUGUGAAGAAGGCCUUUUGGUUGUAAAGCAUUUUAAGCGAGGAGGAGGCUACCUGGAUUAAUACUCUAGGAUAGUGGACGUUACUCGCAGAAUAAGCACCGGCUAACUCUGUGCCAGCCGCCGCUGUAAAAC